CAAAAAACAUGGCAAGGUUAUGUCGCAGCUUUGCCUGUCUGAAUGGUCGGGACUGGGCGUUUGGACGAGAUCUCCAGUGAGGUCCAUGUUCGGUUUCUUGGCAGGCCAUCAGGAUGGAUCAACAUUUCUGGGCAGAUUCAAGCUUGACUGUGUGGAUGGAAACUGCUGGCCAUGCAGUUUUCAUGUACCGAAACCUAAAAGUCUGUAGUUUCUUCGAUCCAAUGUGUUAAGUGAAAAAGCAAGUUUUACAAAUAUUUUACCACGAACUCCAAAUUUGAUCAAUGAGCAGCUGGAAAUCAUUGGGUGGACUCCGGUGAGUGUUUUGGAGCUAGGAGGGGAGGUUGAAUGGAUUGGAUCUCUUGGUGGAAGUGUGGUUGAGUUUUGGGAGCUUGAGAGCUUGAGCUCAAGUGAGCUUUAAUGGUGGAGUUGAAGAAGAUGAGGAUGAAGAAGGAAGGAGGGAGGGGAAUGCUACUGACUUAGAGAGUGUGAGGAGAAGGUAUUUUCAGAGUCUCCGAGAGCGUGAUUGAGAGGAGGAAUUAGAAUGGAGUGUAAUGGUGGUUUUUUGCCAAAAAGAGAGAUGGAGUAUGAACUUAAACAAGGGUUCAGUGGGGUUAUGGUGUGAUGAUUACUAACAAUUUUGGAGGCCAAAUGGGGUGGGGGUUGAGGCAAUGCUUGCUGCAAUUCGUACUAGGUGUGAGGGAGUGUGUGAGGAGGGGUUUAAAGCAAGUAUAUAGUGUGCAUAUGGAUAAAAAAGGUGGGGUUGAGUGUGGGUUUGGAGAAUGGAAGGUGAGUGUUAUGAUUAGGGCGAUCUAGGGCCAAAUUAGGGGACAUUUUAGGUGGUGAUAUAGAGACCAAAAUUCCUGAAGCUCAUGGAAGAUUGAAAGGUCAAAUAAGAUGUGUAGGAGGAUUAUGGCUCGUUCCAGUCAUGAUGCUUGACGGGUGUUCGGCUAACAAUGCAAUGCGACGAAAAUCAUCUAAUAAACUAAAUUAACAAUUAGUCAUGAAGAAUUCAUUUUACUAAUUUUAAAUUUGAAAUAGAAUAAUAAUUAUCAAUAUUCGGAAUUUGAAUUUGCGCAAUUAAUAAUGUAUGCGGAGAAUGCAGUCCUUACAUGUGAGACAUGAUUGAAUUAUGGAUUCAAAAGGAUUGGCAAAAACAGUUUGAAUUACUAGGAAAAUGAUAUCCCAUUGCUUUUUUUUUUUCCCCCAGUUUAAAUAAUGUAUACCUUUUGAUAUGAACACAGAAUCACGAACUACAUAAAUGCUUUGGGAUUCCUUGAUAUUGUUUCGACCCUUUCUCGAUAUCGUCUAUCAUAGAAUUGCCAUGUGGCACGUGUCCCACAGAUUUGCUUGAUGAAUGAAUAAAGAACGUCAAUAGACUCAAUACUCUAGUUCUCAUCAUGUUAUGUGGCACUCUAUGUCUUUUGAGCUGGUUAUUGUGGCAUUUUUCUCAUCUAGCUAAAUUGCAUCAUUUCUCCUUGUUCUUGGAGUGUUUGUCCACUUUGGGCCGAAGUACAAAAAAGAAAUAAAGAGAGGAUAA